UACGUAGGUGGCAAGCGUUGUCCGGAUUUACUGGGCGUAAAGAGCGCGCAGGCGGUCGAUCAAGUCGCGUGUGAAAGCCCCCGGCUCAACUGGGGAGGGUCACGCGAUACUGAUCGACUCGAAGGCAGGAGAGGGUAGUGGAAUUCCCGGUGUAGUGGUGAAAUGCGUAGAUAUCGGGAGGAACACCAGUGGCGAAGGCGACUACCUGACGCUGUUUCUUGACGCUGAGGCGCGAAAGCUAGGGGAGCAAACGGG
rnacentral:rRNA from 1 species